AUCUACAGCCAUGCCAUCCUGAACAAGCCCGAUGUCUGAUUUUGAAAGCUAAACAGGGUUGGGCCUGGUUAGUACUUGGAUGGGAGACCACCUAGGAAGACAAGGUGUUUUAGGCA
rnacentral:rRNA from 1 species